rnacentral:rRNA from 1 species
GGCUGAAAUUCGCCUUCAUGAAGCCGGAAUUGCUAGUAAUGGCAGGUCAGCAUACUGCCGUGAAUACGUUCCCGGGUCUUGUACACACCGCCCGUCACGCCAUGGGAGUUGGGAGUACCCAAAGUCGGCGACCUAACCGCAAGGGAGGAACCGCCUAAGGUAAUACCAAUGACUGGGGUGAAGUCGUAACAAGGUAAC